rnacentral:rRNA from 1 species
CGGCGGAUGGGUGAGUAACACGUGGGGAACCUGCCCCAUAGUCUGGGAUACCACUUGGAAACAGGUGCUAAUACCGGAUAAGAAAGCGGAUCGCAUGGUUCGAUAGUGAAAGGGUGGUUUUGCUAUCACUUAUAGAUGGACCCGCGCCGUAUUAGCUAGUUGGUAAGGUAACGGCUUACCAAGGCGACGAUACGUAGCCGACCUGAGAGGGUGAUCGGCCACACUGGAACUGAGACACGGUCCAGACUCCUACGGGAGGCAGCAGCG